rnacentral:rRNA from 1 species
UGGGGGAUAUUGCACAAUGGAGGAAACCCUGAUGUAGCAACGCCGCGUGAGGGAAGAAGGUCUUCGGAUUGUAAACCUCAGUAGUCAGGGACGAAAGAAAUGACGGUACCUGAAGAGUAAGCUCCGGCUAACUACGUGCCAGCAGCCGCGGUAAUACGUAGGGAGCGAGCGUUGUCCGGAUUUACUGGGUGUACAGGGUGCGUAGGCGGGAUAGCAAGUCAGACGUGAAAUACCGAGGCUUAACUUCGGGGCUGCGUUUGAAACUGUUAUUCUUGAGUGAAGUAGAGGCAGGCGGGAUUCCUAGUGUAGCGGUGAAAUGCAUAGAUAUUAGGAAGAACACCAGUGGCGAAGGCGGCCUGCUGGGCUUUAACUGACGCUGAGGCACGA